rnacentral:rRNA from 1 species
AACGAACGCUGGCGGCAGGCUUAACACAUGCAAGUCGAACGCACCUUUCGGGGUGAGUGGCAGACGGGUGAGUAACGCGUGGGAAUCUACCCUUCUCUACGGGAUAGCUCCGGGAAACUGGAAUUAAUACCGUAUACGUCCUGAGGGAGAAAGAUUUAUCGGGGAAGGAUGAGCCCGCGUUGGAUUAGCUAGUUGGUGGGGUAAAGGCCUACCAAGGCGACGAUCCAUAGCUGGUCUAAGAGGAUGAUCAGCCACAUUGGGACUGAGACACGGCCCAAACUCCUACGGGAGGCAGCAGUGGGGAAUAUUGGACAAUGGGCGCAAGCCUGAUCCAGCCAUGCCGCGUGAGUGAUGAAGGCCCUAGGGUUAUAAAGCUCUUUCAGUGGGGACGAUAAUGACGGUAACCGGAGAAGAAGCCCCGGCUAACUUCGUGCCAGCAGCCGCCGUAACAC